ACGCUCAGUAACACGUGGCUAAUCUGCCCUUGGGACAAGAACACCCCCGGGAAACUGGGGCUAAUUCGCGAUAGGUGAAGAUCUCUGGAAUGAGUUUUCACCCAAAAGAAACUGCGUUAUGCUCGUAGUUUCGCCCAAGGAUGAGGCCGCGGCCGAUCAGGUUGUUGGUGAGGUAAUGGCUCACCAAGCCUUUUACCGGUGCGGGCCGUGGGAGCGGGAGCCCGGAGAUGGGCACUGAGACAAGGGCCCAGGCCCUACGGGGCGCAGCAGUCGCGAAAACUUUGCAAUAAGCGAAAGCUUGACAGGGCUAUCCCGAGUGCCAUCCGCUGAGGAAGGCUUUUACCCAGUCUAGAACGCUGGGGGAAUAAGGAGAGGGCAAGUCUGGUGUCAGCCGCCGCGGUAAUACCAGCUCUCCGAGUGGUGUGGAUGUUUAUUGGGCCUAAAGCAUCCGUAGCUGGCUAGGUUAGUCCCCUGUUAAAUCCACCGAAUUAAUCGUUGGAUUGCGGGGGAUACUGCUUGGCUAGGGGACGAGAGAGGCAGACGGUAUUUCCGGGGUAGGGGUGAAAUCCUAUAAUCCCGGGAAGACCACCAGUGGCGAAGGCUGUCUGCUAGAACGCGCCCGACGGUGAGGGAUGAAAGCUGGGGGAGCGAACCGGAUUAGAUACCCGGGUAGUCCCAGCUGUAAACGAUGCAGACUAGGUGUUUGGACGGCCACGUGCCGUUCUAGUGCCGCAGGGAAGCUGUUAAGUCUGCCGCCUGGGGAGUACGAUCGCAAGAUUGAAACUUAAAGGAAUUGGCGGGGGAGCAC
rnacentral:rRNA from 1 species